rnacentral:lncRNA from 1 species
UUUACAGUGAUGAAGGCAACGUUCGACGUAUGCACACUGCCGUGAAAUUAAACGAGGUUAUAAAAAGCAAAUCUGUAGAUGCUCAAUUGGUUUUUAUCAACUUACCUGGGCCACCGAAGAUGAAAAUGGGAGAAGAAAAUUAUAUGGAAUUUAUUGAAGUGCUCACCGAAGGUCUAGAAAAAGUCGUAUUGGUGCGUGGAGGUGGACGAGAAGUGAUCACCAUCUACUCCUGAAGCUCUAGCUCCGAUAGGUCGGAAAACCUGCGGAAGCAGUCUGUAAUACGGGUGAGCGUCAAUCUCCAAAAGAACUGUUGCUGCCUGAUCUUAAAAAACAACCAUGGAUGCACUCUUUGUUUGUUGUUUCAUAGUGUUACUGUUAUAAUUUUGUACAUGCUUCCCCUUUAUCUCGUAAUUUCAUUUCUAAUUUGCGUAGAACUCGAUUCGGUGCCCUUCGAUUAAAUGAGCUUAGAUUACUCAGAUGCAUUACUUAAAUAGCCUUGCUCUUAAACGAUGUUUAAGGCAAAGCUAUUAUUGCUACAUUAUGACUGAAUUUGCAAAGCAAAUCGUCAAAUAACAUUUUUAGUCAAGUAAUUGUAUAUCAUCCCAGAUAGUGAGAAGCCCAUCUUUAGAGAUUACAAAUCAUAUUUGCUGAUUUUUUAGCUGUAAAUUAUAAGAUCAUCGUAAUAAUUUCCUGUCAGUAUUUUACCUUACUUUUUUUUUCUUUAGAUUAGAAUGUGCUGCUGCUUGUGCUAUUGCGGCUGCACACGUUUUCUACGAUUCCUGUUUCUUUGACAUAUUUAUGAUUUUUUGAACAGAAAAGAAAAGUACUUUAUCAGAAACAGCCUCAUUUAGUCCAGUGAUUUUUAUUUCAAAUUGUGUCUACCUGUUAUCCCAGAUGAAAUUAAUUUUAAAAAAAUUUGUUUCAAGUAAGUAAUUUUUAUUUGAAAUUUUCAUGGUUGUGUCCGGAUAAUUUUCUUUUCAUAUCUUAAUCUGAAUAAUUCAAGUUUAUCUUAAUCACGUGUAUCGUCAAACUAGCUUUCGAAGACUUUCCGUGUACGUUCUUUCGUCUCACUUGUACAUAUGUAUUAUUCGUAGAUACGAAUUAGAUGCCCGCAACCAGCUUUUUAUACACUUAUCUGUUAUUUGUUAUUUUAUGUUACCUAGUCCGUGGACUUAUUGUUUGUACACGAGUCAGUGUUACGUUUCAUUGAUCUAGUCAUUCGACCUGCCAAUAUAUACCUGUGUUUUAAAUUAAGAUGUUGUUUGUACACUUUAUGCUAGUCCAGUUACAUUUUCACACAGCUUUCCCUUUUGUGUGUUAAUUUCUCAUAUAUUUUAGAAUAAAAUAAGGAUUGUUGUUACGUGUAUACUUCAAAAUAUAUUUGUUCAACUCCUAAUAUUGUAAGGCGAGCAAAUUUAAUGUUGUUGUUAUUAAUAGUAUUACAAUUUACAGUUUUGAUAAUGAAUGAUAUAUGCUCAGUUUGUGAGAAAGGAAUACAGUUAUAGGCAUUUUAUGGUAAUCCAAGCAAAUUCAUUAUUUCUUUUAACGAUGAAUGUUUACAUAUUAUUGAUAUAACGAAUACUUAACUAACUUUGGUGGUUUCUUAUAAAUGCUGUUUAGUUUUAUAAGAGCUAAUUUGUUUACAUUAUGUGCUUUGUUAUUUCUACAUUCUCAAAGUUAUAUACCACUAUAUAGUUGUUGAGUAAAAGAAAAACAAUGCACUUAUUUAUUAUUUCCUGCAAACUAAUAUAAAAAAAAAAAUAUUCUUUUACAUUGAAACUUUUUUUAAACUGUUUUUAUAUUCUGUUUAAAGUGAAGAGAUUUUGAUCUUAGUAAAAGUACUGGUGCCAAAGAUAGUUUGUGAACCCAAAAUAUACAACAGCAAAGUAUCUGAAAUUUUUACCCAGACUAGUCAGUAUACAUGUUUAUAUUAUUACUGAACAAUGCAGCUGUUGCUUUAAAAUCUGGUAUACUCUUUCCAAGAUAAUCAACUACUUACUAAAACUGAAAAUUUAGUAACAGAUGAAUUAAAAGCUAAAAUAUCCACAAAAAAACUUAUACUUCUUUUUUAUAUGCAUAAAUGGUUAGAUAAUUAAAAGUCAAAAUACUGAAAUUUAAUGUAAUAAUAUAGUUGUUUACUUAUUAUACUAGAUCUACAGUUCAAAAGAAUUUAUUUGUAUCGCAAAUGUAAAAUCACUUCAUGAAAAAGUUUCAAUAUUUUUGUCUCGGUGACUCGGUUAAUGUCUCAAAAUGUAAUUUGUGCUUUGUAAUUACAGCAAUAUUGUAAUGAAUAUAUUCUGAAAGAUAGUUUUAAAUUAAGAACGUUUUACAUCAUCUCGCACCUAUUUUUACGUAAACAAAUACAUUUUUUUUGCUUAUGUUUAAACUUAAGGUGAUAUUUCCUGAUGUUUUAAGUAAAUUGAGUGCUCAUUUCAUGGUUAAACAAAAUUAAAAUUUCUUUAUUAUUAAUAGUAUUUUAAUAAAAAUGAAUGCAUAGAUCAGAUAGGAUAAAAUGUGCUCACGGCUGACCUUUCAGAACAUUUAUGCAUAGCAUAAACCAUAAUGGCUAAUUACGAGAAAUUUAUAUUUUCAGAAAUGAAUUCAGUGCCAAUAAAUGCAAACUCUGAAAUGUCAGCUUUACACAUAUGCAAUACAAAGGCAGCUAAUAGGUGCAAAUUGCAGCUUCUAAGUUAAGAGCAGUUAUGUGUAGUAUGACAAAGUAAAAAAUGUCCCCAUGGAGUCAGUAACUGCAUUAAUAUAACAGCUCUAAAAGAUAACAUUUCUGAUAAAUUGCAGAAAUUUAAAGAGUCAAAUAAUAUGUAAAUUGAUGUUAUGAGCAUAAAAUUAAAAACAAUUAUUUCGUAUUCUAAUGAAAAAAAUGGAAGCAAGUUUUUACAUCUUUCAUAUUCAGUUAAUAUUUAAACAUUUCAUAAACAUCAUAUGCUAGAUAUAUUUAUGUUAAAAUUAGAAAAUUUCGGAUACAUAUAUUCGAAAACAUUACAGAGACUAGGAACAAUAAAUGUAAUGUAACAUUUUAUCACUUAUAGCAUCAUAAACAAUCAUAAAAUCAAGACUACUGUGCAGUCAUGUUUUUAUUUUAUGUGUUCUUUUCUGUCAAGUUAAGAAAAUAAGUUAACGACAACACGCUAAAUAUUAUGUUAAAAAAUAAUAAUUUUAAUUAUUAGUUUUAUGAAUAAAAUUAUGUAAAACUCGUGAAUAUAUCGAAUUACUCAAUUUUAUUUAGUAAAACAGUAUUCUGCUACACUUGAGUUUCAUUGAAAGCUACCUGUGAUUUAAAAAGGAAAAACUUUCAUAUAUUCGCAAGUUAAAUGAAUAUAUAGAUAUAUAUACCACUUUUAUCUUCAGAAUUAGUAUAUUUGAAAGAAAUGAGACUGCUUUCUAAGUAUUUUACUCAAUUUUAUAAGUGGAGACAAUGAAAGUUACUUAAAAGCCAUUGAAGGAGUUAAAUUACAAUAAAUUUCUAUAGAAAGUUGACUGUAAAUUUUUAACCACUUGAGCACUUCUAUUGCUGUUAGGGUAAUUUGUGAUGUAUUUAUACUGUUAUCCUAGAUGUUAUUUAAAUGAAAUUAGAAUUCGAAGACCUGAGAGAAAUGUACUAGGGUUCGGUGCUAGAAUACAUUAUUACAGAAUUCAAAUAUUUUAAUCAUUGUUAUCAAAUAAAAUUUAACUCGUAUAAAUUAUAUAAAAGAAAAGUUAUCUCAUGUUUAAUGUCAUAAAUGAAACAUGUUAUUUAUCUGAAUGUUUUUUAGUUAUGUUUUAAAAAUUCUAUUACGUUCAGUUGCAAAUGUAAAUGGAAGAAAAAAGGACUUGUUAAGAAUUGUCUUCAGUUUUUAUAAUUUAAAUUCAGUAAUUACACGACAGAAAGAAAUACAAUCUGCAUUUUAUUUUUAGAAAAAAAGUAUUCCAUUAUAUUUACGAUGUAUAACACCCAAAUGAAUUAAUUUCCAGGAACUUCUCUCAGCAUUUUUAUCAUAAAUUAUUAGACAAAAGAAAACUUUUGUUAAGUUUGUAAUCAGUGCAGUAGUAAACUUCAAAGUUAUGUAGAAUUACAAGAAAUUUGUAUAUGAAAUGAUAUGUUCUCAACUUUAGUUUGUAAACUGUAGUAUGUUUUUCUUGUUGAAAACACAGAUUUAACCCCACACUCGAAUGUAAAAAUGUAAAAUCUCUACAUGACUAUGUACCGAACCACUUAAUUACCUUUCGUAGAGUGCAAUAAAAUUUUAAUGUUUUUUCA